GGUUGGAUGGCCGAGUGGUCUAAGGCGUUCGGCUCAAGUCCGAAUCAUCAUCUGAUGGCGUGGGUUCGAAUCCCACUUCAACCA